rnacentral:rRNA from 1 species
GAUGAACGCUGGCGGCGUGCUUAACACAUGCAAGUCGAACGAAGCAUUUUUGAAAGCUUGCUUUUGGAAAUGACUGAGUGGCGGACGGGUGAGUAACGCGUGGGUAACCUGCCUUAUACAGUGGGAUAACAGUUAGAAAUGACUGCUAAUACCGCAUAAGCGCACAGUACCACAUGGUACAGUGUGAAAAACUCCGGUGGUAUAAGAUGGACCCGCGUCUGAUUAGCUAGUUGGUGAGGUAACGGCUCACCAAGGCAACGAUUAGUAGCCGACUUGAGAGAGUGAUCGGCCACAUUGGGACUGAGACACGGCCCAAACUCCUACGGGAGGCAGCAGUGGGGAAUAUUGCACAAUGGGGGAAACCCUGAUGCAGCGACGCCGCGUGAGUGAUGAAGUAUUUCGGUAUGUAAAACUCUAUCAGCAGGGAAGAUAAUGACGGUACCUGACUAAGAAGCUCCGGCUAAAUACGUGCCAGCCGCCGCAGUAAGAC